ACGUGGUGUCAAGAACAUCGCGGAAAAACGUCUGCGCAUGCGUCAACGUUACUGAAAUUUGCCUUGCGAACGUGGUGUCAAGUAUUCCGAAGGUUGUCAAAAACUCAAAAUGGAAGCGACAAGGAUCGACUUCGAUGUUUUGCCUUUUCUGUGAAAAUGAAAGCGAAAUAAUGAAUGCGACAACCUAAAAACUAAAAAUAAUUACAGUCUACAUGUGCAAGAAGUAGUAUUAUGCAAGAAAAUGAACCAGAUGUGACUGUCUAUAAAUUUAUUCUAUAAAACGUUCUUUAACUGAGUCUGAACCAUACAAAGAUAUUUUUCGUAGGUUUUUUUUCGUAUAGCAUGCACGUAUAGUUUUUGCGUUGACUAUAGACGGUUAAAGUUAAUGAUUUACUCUACAAUUUAAGCGACGUGUGCAUGUAUUUCCCCGCACUUUAACUUGGAC